rnacentral:rRNA from 1 species
AAAGGAAUUGACGGGGGACCCGCACAAGCGGUGGAUGAUGUGGUUUAAUUCGAUGCAACGCGAAAAACCUUACCCACCUUUGACAUGUACGGAAGUUACCAGAGAUGGUUUCGUGCUCGAAAGAGAACCGUAACACAGGUGCUGCAUGGCUGUCGUCAGCUCGUGUCGUGAGAUGUUGGGUUAAGUCCCGCAACGAGCGCAACCCUUGUCAUUAGUUGCUACCAUUUAGUUGAGCACUCUAAUGAGNACUGCCGGUGCAAACCGGAGGAAGGUGGGGAUGACGUCAAGUCCUCAUGGCCCUUAUGACCAGGGCUUCACACGUCAUACAAUGGUCGGUACAAAGGGUAGCCAA